rnacentral:ncRNA from 1 species
CGCAUAGCGGGAGGCUGUGACGCGCGGCCCGAACCCCGGCCGCCGGGACCGCGCCGAGCCACUGGCGAGACCGACCCGGAGUCGG